UAUGCACCAUCAUUGACAGUGGUGGUCACCAAAUGGUUUUUCCUUAGUGUAAAGCACUCCCUUGGAAAGAUCUUGUUUUAUGCUUUCUGGUAGAAAAUACUUGGGCUUGCAUCUCAUCAUAUUUCUAUUUCAAGAAUGUGGAGCCGCCUACUUAUUUUCCGUGUCGCUGCCUGUUUUAGAAUAUUUAUACUGCAUUUCGUUUGUACAGCUGAAAAAGGAUCACCAAUUUACUUCAGUGUUUAAUUUAUGUGGUUACACACUCGAAUAUUCUAAAACAUAGAGCUGAAAGGCAUGGAAUAUUCGUAGGUCGACGUUUACAAGUUAGCAUAAAUAUUCGUUUGUACAGCUGAAAAAGGAUCACCAAUUUACUUCGUAUGCUGCAUUUAUGUUUUAGAAUAUUCGUAGGUCGACGUUUACAUAAAUAUUCGUUUGUACAGCUGAAAAAGGAUCACCAAUUUACUUCAGUGUUUAAUUUAUGUAGUUUGUACAGCUGAAAGGCAUGGAAAGGGAACACCAAUUUACUUCAGUGUUUAAUUUAUGUAGUUACACACUCGAAUGUAGUCAAUUUUAGAUUAUUGUCUGUAUUUAGAGAUUUUUUUUGGUUAUUUAUUAUUAUUAUUUUUGUUUCUACUGUAUCUUUCUGUUUUUUUUUAUGACUAUGCUCUAUAGUUUAUAUACUUUAUUUUUAGUUUUCUGUUUUAUGUGUUAAUUUCUUUUCAUUUUAUUUGGAUUUCAUAUUUUAAUUUUCUUUAUUUAUGUUUUUGUUAAAUUUUUAAUUUCUAUUUUUAU
rnacentral:lncRNA from 1 species